AGCAGUAUUGAACUGAAGAGUUUGAUCAUGGCUCAGAUUGAACGCUGGCGGCAGGCCUAACACAUGCAAGUCGAGCGGAUGAAGGGAGCUUGCUCCUGGAUUCAGCGGGGACGGGUGAGUAAUGCCUAGGAAUCUGCCUGGUAGUGGGGGAUAACGUCCGGAAACGGGCGCUAAUACCGCAUACGUCCUGA
rnacentral:rRNA from 1 species